UGACUGGAGGUCAGAUGAGCAGCACUGCCCACAGCUGCUUACUUUUAUAUCUCAUCUUUCUUCCAUCAUGAAACCCAAGUUGACAUAUAUGUGGUUUCAAGGAGAUCUCCAAUCCAGGCACUGACCAGACCCAGAGCUUGCAGAGUUUCAGCAAGACGGCAUUCUUAUGUGCCUUCAGACCGUGCCCUGGGACUUAUUAGACAGUCAAUCCCACUGAACACACUAGGACUUCAUUCUGAGUAAAUAUGCUUGGGAUCAUGCUGCACAGCCAUGGAGAAAGCUGUUUGCACUGAUUCCCUUCUGGUUUCAAGAAGGUGACACAAUUCUGCAACCAAAUUGCAAGGUAAAAAAGGUCUCUAUGAGCAAAACCAUGACAUGAACGAUGUAUUGAUUCUGUGCCUAUACCAGGAAGAAGAGAGAGAGAGAGCUACAAUAUUUGAGGACACAGGAAUCAUCCAGGAGGGAAGAAAUGCCAGCAUAUUUUCCCCUUGAUUUAUCCUUGGUUUCUUUAUGCUUUUGCUUGUUUCCCAUUACAAUUGCACCACUAACAUCUUGUGUGCAUGUGUGUGUAUAUACACACAAGGAUAUCCUUAAUUUAGUUAGAGGAUUUGUCGAUUGGUAAGUAAACAUUUAGAUAAGGAGGAGUAAGUAUUGCUGAGAAACUGUUGAUCUGAAGCAGAGUGGUGGUAGUAACUGUUGCAGUUUUUGUGUGCUUGCAACAUUCUGCCAGAGUGAAUUACGAAAUCACCCUCCACCCAAAAAAAACCUGCUGAAGCUUAGAGGACUAAGUGAGAGAGGCUACAAGUUGUCAUUGAGAGACUUAGGAGCAGCAUCCUUUAUUCCUUUGGCAAUAAACGUCCCAUCAUUCAUGGACAUUUACGAUGCCCUUUGGGGUCAUUCUUCAGAGCUCCAGUACAGCUUCUUCAGGGUUGACUCUCAGCAGCUUGAUCCAGCUCUUAGAAGGCACCGUUAGACAAACUGAUCUUUGGUUCAGUUGUUCCCUGAACUGUGAUCCGUUAAUGCGCUUAACAUUGCAGGUUAAAGAAGUCACAGAGACCUUGUCCACUUAGUUUUCAGGGGACUAGUGGUAUUUUACAAGUCGAAGUCUGUGGUCAUUUUACAAAAAGCCUUCUGGAUAACUUAUAACAUCUCCACAGGUUAAUCUUUUAAGUGCCAAGGGUUGCAAUACUACAAAACUAUGGACAUGCAGAGGGAGAAAAAUGCAGCAGCGGCGAGUGGGAGGGGGCUGAAUGGCAGCAAUGCCCUCCCGGUGACAGCAGCACUGCAUUCGCCAGGACGGGGAUGGGUGGCAGCAAGUUCAAGGGAACUGCCCAUCCAUCCCUCAUCCUUGUUGCCACCUGACUCCACCCCGAUCCCCAUCCUGGCGAAUGCAGUGUGGUCUCCUAAAGGAGGGCACUGCUGCUGCUCCUCCCACUUCAUGUGUUGCUGCUGGAAAUAUGAGCCUAGCUGUUGUUGCCUUGGAAGAGUCAACUGUGACCCUUUGUACAGCGGAACAGGUAAGCAGACUCUAAACAGAAAUACCAUUUUCCUAUUCAACGGCGCAAGUUGCUCAGUCAGAAAGAACCUCUGGCUAUUUUAUGAUGCUGAAAUACAGCUUUUGCAUGCCACCCUAAUGUCUGAGCGUGGUGAGAAUGUCAGGGGUUCCUGCGCUUCCCCAGGGUUUGGUUUCCUGGGAAAGAAGGUCAGCAGAGACUGUGGUGACUUUUAGGAAAUGUGUUUUUUAUUUACACACAUUCCAGCCUGCGCUUAAGAUGGAAGGGUUCAGAGCAUUCACAGACCAUCAGGUCUUGCUUUUCCUUCAGGCUGGAAGGGAGGCACCCCAAGCCAUGGUACGGAAGCAGGCCUCUCUGAGUGUCUUUUCAGCUUCACCCCCAAGAUGAGACUAACAGACACAAGGCUCUCCUAGGCUCCAGGAUGGGGGGGAGGGCCCCUCUCCUGAAAAUAGUUCCAAUAGCCACAGGACCUCCCCUGGCCACAUCCCUUUGGGUAUGCAGAUUGACCACUCAGUAGGCCAUUAAUCCACAGGCUAACUUGGCUAAACUAUUAGCAUAUGCAAAGAAAACCGGUUGGAUAACCAGUGGAGCAGGUUUCUUCCUUUGGAGAUCUCAAAUCAGAGGCUGGCAAGGGGAUUCACGGAAAUCAUCCAUCUCACCACACCCAAUCCCAUCAUACCAGCUUUUCUGUUUUUCUAUGCAAAAAAAGCUUUGAAGGAAGCUUUAUAUGCAUAAGUUCACCCCUACAUGAUCAUAUAUGCACACUUGCUGCAGAGUUAAGUCCCAUGAAUUCAGUGAGACAAACGUAUAAGUAAACAUCCAUAGCAUUGGGCAGCUUGCCCUUCACAAUUCCUCUAAUCUAUGCCAUCUUGCACACCUUUUUUUGGUUGGAGAUUUGCCUUGCAAAAAAUGGAGAAGCGCACAUUUCAACGGAUAGUUGUAUUUGGCUCAGGCAUUGUCUUGGGAAGCACAAAUUAGACAAGUUCCAGUAGCAGACAACGUGGUGGGGCAGAAGCCUUACCUGACCUCCCAGCAAGUGAGUCACUUCCCGCUGCUUACUGGGAGGAGGAGGGGGAGGAUGGCAUGGUGCAUCUCCUUCUCCCCACCCAUCCUGACUGCAUGACUCUGCAAAGCCCCCAAAUCGGUUCAUGGGCUGGAUCUGGGCCAGAUCAGUCCCUGGGUAGAUCAGGGCUGUUCCAAAGAGUUGGAUGUUCGGUAUUAUAAACAUAACCUGUUCGGUGUGUUUUUCAUCUCAUGGUGCCUGGGGUCAGUGGCUGGAGGUGGAAAUACAACUAUCCUGGUAAUCCAGAUGAAGGUCGGAAGAGUCUGCUGUGAAGCUGCUAGUAUAUACCAUCAGAUCUGUCCAAUCCAGAGGCUUCAUACUGCUGACCAAGAAUAAUGAAUGGUAUUACAUGCCCCUCUUAGCAUUUACGUCUCUGAACACACAAAUCCCACAUCAGCUCACUAUUUGUUUAUUAUUUAUUUAUUAUUUGAUUUAUAUCCCGUCCUUCCUCCCAGCAGGAGCCCAGGGCGGCAAACAAAAGCACUAAAAGCACCUAAAAACAUCAUAAAAACAGACUUUAAAAUACAUUAAAACAAAACAACUUUAAAAACAUAUUUAAAAGCUUUGAAGACAUCUUACAAAAAUUUUAAAAAACAUUAUUUUUUUAAAAAAAGUUUAAAAACAUAUUAAAAGCAAUUCCAACACAGAAGCAGACUGGGAUAAGGUCUGAACGUAAAAGGCUUGUUGAAAGAGGAAGGUCUUCAAUAGGUGCCGAGAAGAUAACAGAGAUGGAGCCUGUCUAAUAUUUAAGGGGAGGGAAUUCCACAGGGCAGGUGCCGCCACACUAAAGGUCCAUUUCCUAUGUUGUGCAGAACAGACCUCCUGAUCAGAUGGUAUCUGCAGGAGGCCCUCACCUGCAGAGUGCAGUGAUCGACUGGGUAUAUAAGCGACUGGUCCUGGCCUCAGACCACGACAUUUCAGGUUUAAACCUCAGAGUCCCAGACAACCUUUUUCUCUUUUGUAAGCUUCUUUUUGUAAGUUCAUUUUUAACAGCACAGAAUGAAUGCAAUCUCUUUCCAGAAUAUGCCCAGGACAUUUACUAGGUGAAUGCAAAAUUGGGUCUCUCCAUAUGCCUUGCAGGCAUGCUUUCACAUUACUUUGAUUGCUAAACUUAUUUAGGGAAGACAUUUAGAAAAUUGAGAAGCUUUUGGCAGCUUUCCCCUCCCCCAUCUUACUAGCCUUUCUCCACCCGAAGAAGAGUUUAUGUUAAAAACGUGUCUGGAAUAGCUGUUUGUUUCCUGUAGCAUUCAACACUCACUGGAAUUAGAUCUUUUCCUGAUGCCUCUUUUCCCAUUUCCCAGUGGACUAUGUAGCCUCACAUCUGAAGGGAGUUUGUCCACAGCCUUCUCAGUUUUCCAGGGUCAUCUGCUCAUUUUAACAGCUGGGGAUGAAGGCAAAAAGUAUUAGGUGACAGACGUAAGUCACCUGAGGAAUUUUCAACAGACAGCGUCAAUAAGACUAGUAACCAUUUCUCUGGAGCUAUUCACUCUCUUUUGCCAUGCCAUUUCAGACAAUGUUACUAAAAAUGUAGUCAAUGGUGACUUAUACUUAGAAAAAUAUAUUUGUGGCCUUCCAUUGGCCUGGCUGGGUCCAACUGCCUUCCCUCCAAGAAGAGUGCUCAUUGGUGACCAUUUUGAUGCAGCCAGAGAUGUCAACAUGGCCCCCUCCAUUAGCAUCAGAGGAUGAGGCGAGACAGGGACCAUCACCACCACCGGCCAUUGGUGUGGCCGGGACAUACUGCCAUCUGGCUCUUCCCCUCCUUGUCGGUGGUUGAAGAAAGUUCCAAGUUAUAUGUGAUUUUGUUUUGUUUUAUAAGCUUCCUUGAGGCAGGGUAAAAUGACCCUAAAUAAUAAACAGAUAGAUAAAAAGCAGAGCAAUCCUAAUGCCAGCCCAAGGCUGGCGGAGAGAGGGGAGUUUGGAAGGAGUCUCCUUCUGCCAGUGGAAAGGAGCUCUGCAGGUAUCACGUCCGAUCUGGAAAUCCCUGGUAAGCUUGUGGAAAAUUCAGUGUGGAUUGAUGCAGGACAUUCCAGGAGCAUGAUGGAUGCAUGUUAGGAGUGCCGUUGGACCCAUCAGAUCCCAAAGUUCCUUCGUUCCCCAAGCACAGCCAUGGAUCGGGUCUCUAAUCUAUGUCAACCUGCCACUGGUAAGUAUUGUCCCUCCCACUGGUGUUAUUGGGAGGUAAAAUAAUCAAAAAAAAUUGCUAGGAAGAAAGGAACCCCCCCCCCAAAUUUGGCUGGAUGCUGUGUUGGCUCCACACACUUAGAAUUGCUCAGUAAAGAUACGCAUUUAUACAUCAAUUCAAAGUAUUUGACCUCAAGGCAGCUUGUAGUCAAAAUAAUGAAACAAUAUUGAUAAACAUAACAUCAAUGAAAACAGCUCAAGUCCAAUGAGCUGGCAGCUAGUGCUACAAACAAACUGAUAAAACUGCAAAUCAGAUUAUUAAAAGUAGGCACAUAUAGUAAAAUGCCUUUUGCCUGGUACUUCAAAGAUGGUAAUGAAGAUGGCAGGUGGACAUACCUGGGGAGGGAAUUCCCUAGUUUGGGUGCCACCACAAAUAAGACCCUCUCUUCGGUAGCCACACACCUAACCUCCAAGGAUGGGGGUUCCUGGAUCUGGUCUCAAAAAGAUCUCAAAAUUAAUCUUUGCUGCCCCUUCCUCUGGCUGAUUAAUAGACAUCCAACUACAAGAAUUUAUUAAGAGGUGCCUUGAUAAUUCUCUCCAUGUAUUGUCACACAGACCAUACGUUUUGCAUCUCGUUGUCAUUUAACGCCAACUUUACGUGUCUUCUUUAUACUCAUGUCUAUAUAUACUUCCCAACUGCACUGCAUGCAUCUGAUGGACUCUAGUCUACAAAGGCUUAUGCCACAAUAAAUGUAUUAGCCUUUAGGGUGCCACAAGACUCUUUGUAACUUUGCUGAAACAGGUCUCUAAUUAACAGGUCUCUAACUAACUAACUGAAACAGGUCUCUAACUAACAUGGUGAGAAAUGGAUUAACAUUUGGUUACCAGACAUAGAAUGGCUUUUUAUUCUGUUUGAAUACAAUAACUUUGAAAGUGCAAUUGAAUUAAGACAUUAAGUUAAGACACACAUUACUCUAAAGAGGUGUUGUUGUUUUUCAGAUUACCUGACAAGAUGGAGGUCCUGGAUGUGCCUUGAGUCUGAGCCACAUUUGCCUCAGUCCAAACGGCAGGGCUUGUAUGUGGCAUGGCAGCUUCCGUGUGCUGGCCAUUUGAAUGGAAAAAAUGGACACCCAGCAAGAAUUCCUUAAAAAAUGCCCUCAGGUGUGCAGGGGGCUGCAGGGGAGACAAGAGAAGGAGGAGAAUGUGUUGUGCAAGCAGAAGACAGCUUGCACGAGUGGUACAGCUGCAGUGGAUGCAACCACAGUAUUUGGAGUUAAUGGGGACAGAUCCCAUCUCUCAUCCUCCAGAGCACUGAGGUAUUAGUUCUCUAACAGGUUUGUGGACUUGCAAUUGGGUGGGAAGGAGGCAUAUGACAGAGGAACGCCCAUGGACCACCAAUUGCAGGAAAGUCUGCUGCAAUGCAUCUGAGUGCAUGGAUAUUAAUGCGAUUGAUUAUCGAUACAGAUCGCUAUGUUCAUCUGAUUCAAAGAGCCGACGACACCUGAAAUUAUGACAAUUUGGUUAUCGAUAUUAGGAAUGAUGUUCCUAUCUGGAAUGUUUUUUCUGUCAGUUAUGUGAAGAUUCUUACCUAUGAGGCACGCACAGCAAAGCCAGUUUGAUGCUGUUUGUUGAUGCUGCUGACAAUGAUUUCAUGUCUGAACUAUUUUAUAACAAGAAAAGCCCUCACUAAUAUUUGCACUUAAGCAACAGUGAAUUGCUAAGAAAUCAAAUAAUGUUUAUUUUACCUUGGGCGAUGAUUUAUUGAUGCAAAUAAAAAACCCUAAUUAAAUUUGCCAUGGUGAAGCCCCUCAUGAAACUGUUAAGCCAUGCAUCUCUCUCUC